GCCCGCCUAGCUCAAUCGGAUAGAGCGUCAGACUUUUAUCCAUUCUCUAGGGUCGGGAUCUGAAGGCUGCGGGUUCGACCCCCGCGGUGGGCU